rnacentral:lncRNA from 1 species
UCUUCCUUAUGUGGAAAGGAAACUAGACUAACAGUUUGUGUGGGGGAAGGGCCAACUGGGAGUGGCAGUUGGGUCUUGUGACUAGCACUUCCUUCCUGCCGGGUGGGACUUGCUUCCAGGUGUUGGAGGAGAGAGGAACAUGGUCAGCCCAGUCUGGGGUGGCAUGCUCUUCUUGGUUCAGCCGGAAGACACAGGCCUCUGAAGGCUUUCAGAUAGACCAAUAAUUCUCAAAUUGUCUCUCCUGGAUCUAUUUUCUAGUGACCAGUUGGAAGGAGAUUCAGAAAGUUCCUGAUACUGUGGGGCCAUCUUAGCUCCACCUCCUGGGUUGAGCUUUCGAGAAAUUUAGGAAUUCUAUGAAGCAGAGGUCCAUGACUAAGAGGAAAUGCAGAGCAAAAAAAAAAAGUGUUCCUGAUACCCAGGGGGAUACAGUGAGCAGGAGGAAGAGAAGGAAGAAGAAGCAAAGGAGAACUGGAUUACCAACAGUGCAGUUUGUGUGCAUCUGCUGCCAAUUUGAAGGAGCAACUAAUUCACAAACUCUAUGAUUGACC